UACGUAGGCAGCGAGCGUUGUUCGGAAUUACUGGGCGUAAAGAGUGUGUAGGCGGUGCUCUAAGUUCGGUGUGAAAUCUCCUGGCUCAACUGGGAGGGUGCGCCGGAAACUGGAGUGCUUGAGCGUGGGAGAGGAAAGCGGAAUUCCUGGUGUAGCGGUGAAAUGCGUAGAUAUCAGGAGGAACACCUGUGGUGUAGACGGCUUUCUGGACCAUAGCUGACGCUGAGACACGAAAGCCAGGGGAGCAAACGGG
rnacentral:rRNA from 1 species